rnacentral:rRNA from 1 species
UGGAUGAUGUGGUUAAUCGAUGCAACGCGAAAACCUUACCCACCUUUGACAUGUACGGAACCUUUAGAGAUAGAGGGUGCUCGAAAGAGAGCCGUAACACAGGUGCUGCAUGGCUGUCGUCAGCUCGUGUCGUGAGAUGUUGGGUUAAGUCCCGCAACGAGCGCAACCCUUGUCAUUAGUUGCUACAUUCAGUUGGGCACUCUAAUGAGACUGCCGGUGACAAGCCGGAGGAAGUGGGGAUGACGUCAAGUCCUCAUGGCCCUUAUAGGUGGGGCUACACACGUCAUACAAUGGCUGGUACAAAGGGUUGCCAACCCGCGAGGGGGAGCCAAUCCCAUAAAGCCAGUCGUAGUCCGGAUCGUAGUCUGCAACUCGACUACGUGAAGUCGGAAUCGCUAGUAAUCGUGGAUCAGAAUGUCACGGUGAAUACGUUCCCGGGCCUU